GUAUAUGAAGGGACAGAAAGACUUGUAUCAUCAUUUGCAUGGCGAAGGCCAGUCUGAUAUUUUCUCAAAUUAAUAACUUACAGAAUGCUGGACUCUUUUGCAUCAAACAAAUCAUGCAUUUACUUGUUUUGUAGAUGAUAAAGGGGGCGCUAGAUGUGCAAAUGUUGUGGAAAUAUUUUUUUCUUCUUUUUAUUUUUUUUCCUUUUGAAUGUAUGUAGCAUACAUGAUCUUUGAUGAAUGUAGAAUACAUGAUCUAAGAUCUACCGUUUCUCAGUGAGGUUGAGUAGAAACUUCGGGGAAUUCAUAAUUGAUAACCGGAUGCAUUUAUAGUUCAGGAAUCACAGUGGCAUGUUAGUUGUGCUACACUUUAUUUGUAAGCCUGUGGCAAUUUGUUGCUCUGAUUGCAUUUUAGUCCUAGGUUAUUUGCUCAGGACGAGUUUUGCAUUCCUGACUGAUUUUUGGUACGUUGGUUUUACGUAGUGCCCUUGAUCCUCCGUAAAUUGCGGAACGUUUCAUAAAGAGCUGAGUGACGUAUUUUACAUGAAAGGAAUUAUCUCAACUGAUCUCAUCAUCAUAUUGAGUCGGCUUAUUGUUUUGUAAAUUUUACUGCGUAGACAGUAAUAAAAAUCCGAAACCAAAAACUUGAUUUUCAUCGCAAAGUCUGGGGAUAGUAGAUUGGGUUGACACAAAUGGACAUUUCAAUCAGCAUGCAAUUGAUACUGAGUAGUCAAUAUAUAUAUAUAUAUAUAUA
rnacentral:misc_RNA from 1 species